UAUUUCAAAAUAAUGUAAUGGCUCCUAAGUCCCAAUACUGCUUAAAACCACUGCCGUAGCCCACUGUAAAUGCUGGAGGUGCCUGUCUGAACUGCAGCACCAGGAAUAACAGCCCCGGCGGUGCUGUGUUUGUGCCCAUCAUGUCCCACGGGGAGCAGCGCUUUGUUACCGUGAGGGGCACAAGGCCGGAGGGCACCCAGGUGCCUCUCCAAGCUGGAAGUGUCCUGUGAGCAUGGAGUCUGACAGACCCAUGGCUUUGUGUGUGAGGAAGCUCCUUGUGACUCCAGGUGGAGUGAGGCUUUGUGAGCUCUCCUCACAUGGAGGCCCAAGCCGCAGGAGAAGCCACAUGAGGUAGGCCGCAGCGCUCCCCAUGCUGGAGUUGCUGGUGGGACAAGACUUCUGCUGCUCCUCUGGGAGACUUGUUCUCCAUCAGACCUCAUGGCAAGGAGCUUCUCCUGCCAGGAAGGGCUUCCUUGCUCACAGUGCUUUUGUCUUUUUUUUCCCCUCAUCAACUUAGGGCAGCUCCUCUCCUCAUGUGGCUGGCCUCCUCAGUCCCCAGGCCUUGUGGGCAAACUUUUGAGGUCAAGGAUUUCAACUGGGCUAAGACUUGGGUUUGUGCCCUUCUGCUCAUGCCUCGCCCCUUACAAGGGAGAUCGCCACGUUUUGUCUUGAGAGAGGUGGGAGGAACAGAGGAAAAUACAAACCAAAACUCUCUGAUUGCCAAGAGCGUGUAUUCACCAAGCCCAUUCACUGCCUUGGGCUUGCGAUUUUGACUGUGUUUACAGAGGAGCAGAGGGAUUAUAAGAAUCUGUGCGUGUGAAAGUACACAAUACCUUAAUUACGGCGAGCGCUUUGUGAUACGGUCUAACAAGAGCUAAUGGAGCACAAGAAAGCGGUGGAAAAUGUUAGCGAGAUCUGUCAGGAUGUUUGUCUUGCAGGCUGAUGUGGCUGAUCUCACCUCCCAGCGCAGCGAGGUGCGCGCCGGGGCGAGGCGAUGCCCGGGGCCGGCAGGAGGAUGGAGCGGAGGCACGGGGUGUGCCGAGGCCAUGAUGCAGGGCCCCCGUUGGCGCGCUCACGGCUCAUCCCUGGCGGCGCAGGACGGCAGGUGGGCGCGUGAUCUUUGCUCCUGGUGGGAACGCUUUCAUCCGGGUACGCGGCACAUUAGUGCGCAUUGGAGGUUGUGAAUGAAGAUUAUGACUGGCGCAGAGGAGUUUGAUACGUUAUCAGAAGUCCUCAAGAAUAAAGCUGAAAGCAAUGGAUGUUCCA
rnacentral:lncRNA from 1 species